CCAUACUUAAGCAUGCCCUAGGGGAAGGUAAAGUUGUAAACUCCUUGCUGAACAAUGAAAAGUACUUAACCCAUAAUUAUAAUAAGGCAAAAAAACCCUUUAGCUGGGCCUAUUUUUAGAUCUAAUACAAAAGGGUGCUAAGUACCUAUAAAGGUCAGGCAACUUGUAAACUUACAUGGGAUAGAGGUGAGAAAGUUACUCAGAGAUUCUAGUCUACUCAGGUGUGAAUUACUCAAAAGUUUAGUCUACUCAGGUGUGAACUAUCAAUGGUCAGUCCUUUGGAAAACGUCUACUGUGAUUGGCAGAUGUAAGAACUUAGGGGAGGAGACAUAGGAGAAAAUUCCCUUUAAAAAGAAGCUCAGAAAGGGCUCCAGAGAGAUUCAGCUGAGGAGCAGCUGGGAAAAGCUGAAUUGGAGGAUGCAGCUGGCCAAAGCUGCCUUGAAGGGCUUGUUGGCCGAACUUGUUUGAGCUAGCUGAAGCUGAACUGGUGUCUCUCUGAACACUAAAAUCUUGCUUUGGACAGGUCUUGUGGGCAUCAUUAAAGUGCCUAGCAAAGUACUAGUUGCACAAUAUGUGAUCAAUAAAUACGUAACAAAUGAAUGGCUUGGUGACUUUAACUGAAUAACUGAAUGAUUGCAGAGUACAAGCAGCAUCACCAAACAAAGUUUUAGCCAGAAACAUAUGACUUGGCUUCAGGUUCAGAGAACAGAAAAAGAAGCAGAUGAUAUGGUAGACAGACCUUCUGCAGGUGGGAGAGGCUGGAUUGUCAACUUCAUGGAGAUCCAUGACAAUAAGGAAGUGAAGUGCCUUGGAGAAACAUUGACACAUGUACAAAUAUUCUGUAACAUUGAUGGUUUGCUAACCAUCUUCCACUUUUGUCUAAAGAACCAGAACUAAGAAAGCCUCUGCCUACUCUUGGUGGCUUCAUCUGGUGCUGGUCUCUUCUGAUGGUUUGACUCCUUCCAUGGAAUUCCAAGAUGCUGCCAUUUCUGGCCUUUCAAAAUGCAACUGAUCUGUGACUAUACUAAUUUUACCUUGAAUGGAAUAAAAGAUGUGCUAUGUAGCA
rnacentral:lncRNA from 1 species